GAUCACUGAUUUAAGAAGAACAAGACUGAAUUUCUUGUGAAUUUAGCAGUUUUCUCUUUUAAAUCCCUCCUUUUGUCAUGUGCCCGCAUAAUACUUUAUGAAGUAAAAGCUUGUCAAACAAGUUGGAGAAAGAACAGUCUUGGAAUAUUAUUGAGAAAGAAAUCCAGGCAAUCAAAUGAUGGUUGCUGAGAAAAGAACCACAAAAAGAUGCCUACAGAGGCUCAGGA
ensembl:lincRNA Gm43470 predicted gene 43470